GGGGGUGGAUUAUGCUGUAUCCCUCACCGCUCCAUGUGCAUCCCUCCCGAAGUGGCGCACUCGGUGGAAGAGGACGACCAUCCCAGAUUGGAGGAGUGUACUGUUCUUCGGUCAAGGGUAUACGAGAG
rnacentral:sRNA from 1 species